GCCGUUAAGUCUUGACGAGUAAGAGGGUCGCGACGGUGAGCGCAGAAGGGUCAGGGCGAGAGCCUGCCUGGAGCCGCCGUUGGUGCAGAUCUUGGUGGUAGUAGCAAAUACUCUAGCGAGGGCCUGGAGGACUGACGUGGAGAAGGGUUUCUUGUGAACAGCCGUUGCACAAGAGUCAGUCGACCCUAAGCCCUAGGAGAAAUCCGAUGACGAUGGGUGGCUUGACAAUAUAUGCGCACACACAUGAUCGAACGUAUGUUCUCUGUGUAGAAACAUAAUAUUAUAGACCACAGACUGUGUCUGUCGUUCAGUUAUGCACUAUGUGCUGCUUGCGACCGUACAGCUCCUAUUGGGCAAAAGGGAAUCCGGUUCCUAUUCCGGAACCUGGCUGCGUAACCGCAUCUUUGCGGGCACUUGCUUGCGAGCGCUCGUCGGGGUAACCCAAACUGGCCUGGAGACGCCGGCGGGGGGUCUGGAAAGAGUUUUCUUUUCUUUAUAAGCGUUCGAGUACCCUGGAAUCCUAUAGCAGGGAGAUAGGGUUUGGAAUGCGAAGAGCACCGCAGUUGCGGCGGUGUCCGGACCUUCCCCCCGGACCUUGAAAAUCCAGGUGAGGGCCACGCGGAAGUCGCGCCAG
rnacentral:rRNA from 1 species